AUCCCUUUCAUCAUCCAUAUUCCUUUCCAUAUUCCAUCCAAUGUGGCGGCCAAACCGAACCCAGCCCAACCUAUGAACAAACAAAAAUAAUGCCAUAAAUAAGAAUGGAUGAUGUCGAGGUCUCAACCCACCUUGGGUUCGUCAGUUAGUUGCUCUCCUCGCCCCUAAACACUAGUCCCCAAGCCCCCCCACGCCACGCAGAAGGAAUGAUGUAACCCCAGCAUGGCGCCCUACAACUCAAAAAAGAAACAGGGAAGAAAAAGAAAAGAAAAGAGGGAACGCUGUGUGGAUUCCCCACAAGAAACGGCCCUCCUAGGCAAGGCGAGGUACGAGAGCAAAAGCAAUGCAGGCUAAGCAAGCUAAGCAAGCUAAGCAGCGCAACGAGCAACAGCCCAGUGCAACGCUGCGGUGGAGCCGGAACUUUGAUGCGCUUCUGCAGGUUUUUGGGGCGCAACAAGGUGGUACUGUGGCAUAUAACGAUGCGUGAUGCUGGAACAUGUGUGAUUUGAUUCGAUUGGCGUGACUCUCUCUCUCUCUCUCUCUUUCUCUCUCUCUCACUGUUCAUUUUCUAUUUCGUCUUGUAGCAUGGUAGUCUGUAUUGUAUUUUGUAUUUGUAUUUGAUAUCAAGGAGAGGAAAAAGGGUCAGUCUCCCGAUCGCUUUUUUGUUGCAUGCCUUUCAUCAAAGGGAUAAACCCCCCCCAACCAACCCCCACGGCGAACCCCGGAGAGUGAGAUUCUUAUUUCCCUGGAGAUUUUGCUUCGGGGGCGAAUGAUCAAUGAUUUCAUAUCGUCAUAACUAAACUUGUUCGUUAAAUUAUAGUUGGGGCACUUUACAAGAGAGAGAGACUGCUGUGUGCUCCCAAAUAAAUGCGCGCUUCCUCAGUUCCUGCUCAGGACGCCCCUUUCUUUCUCUUCCCCCCCUUGUAAUAGUUUACUUGUUACUAGUAUCCAAUUGGCGGAAUGAGGAUGGGCAUGAUAAUGUCCUGCAGUUUUGUAUACAGAGCCUGGAAUUGUCGGGCCAGUAAACAGGUAAAACAUAAAAAUCAAAUCAAACGACAAAAUACGGGGC
rnacentral:sRNA from 1 species